UACGGAGGGUGCGAGCGUUAAUCGGAAUUACUGGGCGUAAAGCGCGCGUAGGCGGUUUGUUAAGUCAGCUGUGAAAGCCCCGGGCUCAACCUGGGAACUGCAGUUGAUACUGGCCGACUGGAGUGCGAGAGAGGGAGGUAGAAUUCCAUGUGUAGCGGUGAAAUGCGUAGAUAUAUGGAGGAAUACCGGUGGCGAAGGCGGCUCACUGGCCCGUAACUGACGCUGAGGUGCGAAAGCGUGGGGAGCAAACAGG
rnacentral:rRNA from 1 species